GACGAACGCUGGCGGCGGGCUUAACACAUGCAAGUCGAACGGAAAGGCCCUGCUUUUGUGGGGUGCUCGAGUGGCGAGCGGGUGAGUAACACGUGAGUCACCUUCCCUUGACUGUGUGAUAACUUGAGGAAACUGGGGCUAAUACCUGCUAGGAGCUCCUGCUGCAUGGUGGGGUUUGGAAAGCUUCGGCGGUUGUGGAUGGAUGCGGGGUUUAUCAGCUGGUUGGUGGGGUAGUGGCUUAUCCAGGGAUUGGUGGGUGGGCGGCCUGGGAGGGUGACCAGCGACAUUGGGACUGAGAUACGGAGCAGUCUGCAACGGGAGGCAGCAGGGGGGAGUAUUGCACAAUGGGCGGAAGCGUGAUGCAGAGACGCCGCGUGCGGGAUGAAGGCCUUCGGGUUGUAAACCGCUUUCGCCUGUGACGAAGCGUGAGUGACGGUAAUGGGUAAAGAAGCACCGGCUAACUACGUG
rnacentral:rRNA from 1 species